UGGUCAAUAUACAUUAUUGC
rnacentral:misc_RNA from 1 species